rnacentral:rRNA from 1 species
AGUGAACGCUGGCGGCGUGCCUAAUACAUGCAAGUCGAACGGAGUGGCGCACGGGUGAGUAAUAUAUAGCUAAUCUGCCCCUUGCUGGAGGACAACAGUUAGAAAUGACUGCUAAUACUCCAUAGCAAUGGAUGAGCCGAUAUCGUAUUAGCUAGUCGGUGGGGUAACGGCCUACCGAGGCGAUGACGCGUAACUGGUCUGAGAGGAUGAUCCGUCACAUCGGAACUGAGACACGGUCCGGACUCCUACGGGAGGCAGCAGUAGGGAAUAGUGCGCAAGGGGGGAAACCCUGACGUAGCAACGGCGCGUGGAGGAUGUCAAUUUGCGGAGCAUAAACUCCUUUUGUUAGGGAAGCGGUACCUAACGAAUAAGCACCGGCUAACUCCGUGCCAGCCGCCGCGGUAAUUC